ACGCUCGACACCUACGGGAGGCGGCAGUCGGGAAUAUUGCGCAAUGGAGGAAACUCUGACGCAGUGACGCCGCGUAUGGGAAGAAGGUUUUCGGAUUGUAAACCAUUUUAGACAAGGAAGAAACAAGACAGUACUUGUAGAAUAAGCUCCGGCUAACUACGUGCCAACAGCCGCGGUAAUCUGAGCGGGCUGGCAAGGC
rnacentral:rRNA from 1 species